rnacentral:rRNA from 1 species
GACGAACGCUGGCGGCGUGCUUAACACAUGCAAGUCGAACGGGAUCCAUCCCAGCUUGCUGGGAGAAGAUCUAGUGGCGAACGGGUGCGUAACACGUGGGCAACCUACCUCGGAGAUCGGGAUAACAGCUGGAAACGGCUGCUAAUACCGGAUAACCCUCUCGGAUCGCAUGGUCCGAGAGGCAAAUGGUCCGCCGCUCCGGGAUGGGCCCGCGGCCUAUCAGCCUGUUGGUGAGGUAACAGCUCACCAAGGCGACGACGGGUAGCCGACCUGAGGGGGUGAUCGGCAACACUGGGACUGAGACACGGCCCGGACGACUACGGGAGGGAGCAGUGGGGAAUUUGGCGCAAUGGGAGAAAGCCUGACGCAGCAACGCCGCGUGAGCGAAGAAGGCCUUCGGGUCGUAAAGCUCUGUUGUUAGGGAAGAACAAGUACGAGAGUAACUGCUCGUACCUUGACGGUACCUAACCAGAAAGCCACGGCUAACUACGUGCCAGCCGCCGCCGUAA